AGUGAACGCUGGCGGUAGGCCUAACACAUGCAAGUCGAACGGCAGCACAGUAAUAGCUUGCUCUUACGGGUGGCGAGUGGCGGACGGGUGAGGAAUACAUCGGAAUCUACUUUUUCGUGGGGGAUAACGUAGGGAAACUUACGCUAAUACCGCAUACGACCUACGGGUGAAAGCAGGGGAUCUUCGGACCUUGCGCGAUUGAAUGAGCCGAUGUCGGAUUAGCUAGUUGGCGGGGUAAAGGCCCACCAAGGCGACGAUCCGUAGCUGGCCUGAGAGGAUGAUCAGCCACACUGGAACUGAGACACGGUCCAGACUCCUACGGGAGGCAGCAGUGGGGAAUAUUGGACAAUGGGCGCAAGCCUGAUCCAGCCAUACCGCGUGGGUGAAGAAGGCCUUCGGGUUGUAAAGCCCUUUUGUUGGGAAAGAAAAGCAGCAGGUUAAUACCCCGCUGUUCUGACGGUACCCAAAGAAUAAGCACCGGCUAACUUCGUG
rnacentral:rRNA from 1 species